rnacentral:rRNA from 1 species
GACGAACGCUGGCGGCGUGCUUAACACAUGCAAGUCGAACGAUGAACCACUUCGGUGGGGAUUAGUGGCGAACGGGUGAGUAACACGUGGGCAAUCUGCCCUUCACUCUGGGACAAGCCCUGGAAACGGGGUCUAAUACCGGAUAACACUGUCACGGGCAUCUGUGGUGGUUAAAAGCUCCGGCGGUGAAGGAUGAGCCCGCGGCCUAUCAGCUUGUUGGUGAGGUAAUGGCNCACCAAGGCGACGACGGGUAGCCGGCCUGAGAGGGCGACCGGCCACACUGGGACUGAGACACGGCCCAGACUCCUACGGGAGGCAGCAGUGGGGAAUAUUGCACAAUGGGCGAAAGCCUGAUGCAGCGACGCCGCGUGAGAGAUG